rnacentral:rRNA from 1 species
AUUGAACGCUGGCGGCAGGCCUAACACAUGCAAGUCGAACGAGUGGCGGACGGGUGAGUAAUGUCUGGGAAACUGCCCGAUGGAGGGGGAUAACUACUGGAAACGGUAGCUAAUACCGCAUACCAUCGGAUGUGCCCAGAUGGGUUUAGCUUGUAGGUGAGGUAACGGCUCACCUAGGCGACGAUCCCUAGCUGGUCUGAGAGGAUGACCGGAAAAUCUUGAACUAAGACACGGUCCAGACUCCUACGGGAGGGAGCAGUGUGGAAUAUUGCGCCAUGGGCGCAUGCCUGAUGCAGCCAUGCCGCGUGGAUGAAGAAGGCAUUCUGGGUGUAAAGUACUUUCAGCGGGGAGGCGUUACCCGCAGAAGAAGCACCGGCUAACUCCGUGCCAGCAGCCGCGGUAAUAC